UGUUUCUCAUUUAUAUUAUGUGAUUUGUUUCUCAUUUAUAUUGCCUCAAUUAAAAUCUGUCUCUUUACACCUCUAUAUUUUGUGUGUCUUCAUGCAUAUACCAUGUUCGAUAAAAUGCCUCAAUUAAAAUAGUUUAAUUUUUAAUGUUAGCUGCUUAUAUAAUUCUACUUUUUUUGUUGUUAAAAUAGUGAGUGAAUUUAUUAUAACAGGCCAAGUAAAUGUAGUGUACGGUGGUAAGGUUUAGCAAAAAUAGAGGUAUAUUCAAAUCAGUGAUACAAACAGUGGGAGUUGGAUGUUAUUUUUAAUAAUAAACAAUAGGCAAAUUUUGGACAAGGGAUAAUGGAGCUUGACAGGUCUACACUUUUUUAAGCUGAAGUUUUUCUUAUCUCCCAAGCACUGCUACUCUCCAGGUAUGCAUUCAAUGGAAUCACAGAAAAAGUUAGAAACAAAGCUUAAGAGACACAAAGCAUUGGAACAGAGCAUUGAAAAUCAUUAUGUUUCGUUUCAAUCAAAGCAAAAGAGACCCAUCAAUUUGGGUUUGUGUUUCUAAGAUUUGGAUUUGUAUUUGUAUUUGUUUUUCUAAACCUUAAACUGAUGUGUUUGUGUUGGAUUUGUGUUUCUAAACCUUAAACUGAUAUGUAUUUGAGUUUCUUUUUC